GUGGUAACUUUGAAGGUCAGGUGACAAUGUUUUAAAAGAGAGUGGGAAUGCCCUUUAUGGUCGGCGUCAAUUGGUGCUUUUUGACUGCUGUUACAUGUAGCACCAAAUUGAUUUAAAUUGUGAUUCCUCAAAAUAUCCUUAUCUUGAUUAGUCAGAGGUCUCAAAUAAUUAUGCAUUACUGUUCUUUUUUAUAAGAAGUUAUCAUGAUUGUUAAAAAUCAGUUGAUUAUUUCAUUGCCAUGUACUAAGAAUUACUGUUAAAGUGAUGUCACAAUUUUAUUUACCGUUAUUCGUCAUGAAGGUACCCACAUUAGGACCCUCUUAUAAGCUUUCUAAGUUUAAAUUUUUUUGAUGAACACUAAAGAAAUGGU
rnacentral:lncRNA from 1 species